rnacentral:rRNA from 1 species
UUAGUGGAAGGUCCCCCACACUGGCACUGAGAUACGGGCCAGACUCCUACGGGAGGCAGCAGUAGGGAAUAUUGGUCAAUGGGCGCAAGCCUGAACCAGCCAUGCCGCGUGCAGGACGAAGGCUUUCUGAGUUGUAAACUGCUUUUGUACAGGAACAAAAAAGCCUCUGCGGAGGUUCUUGAGCGUACUGUAAGAAUAAGCACCGGCUAAUUCCGUGCCAGCAGCCGCGGUAAGACGGAAGGUGCAAGCGUUAUCCGGUUUUAUUGGGUUUAAAGGGUGCGUAGGCGGUUUAUUAAGUCAGUUGUGAAAUCUUAGUGCUUAACGCUAAAACUGCAAUUGAUACUGGUAGACUUGAGUUAAGAAGAGGUAAGUAGAAUUUAUGGUGUAGUAGUGAAAUGCUUAGAUAUCAUAAGGAAUACCAAUGGCGUAGGCA